UACUCCAUUCUGCAUAUGUCCAGCCUGCAUGCUCGACAGCAAAAUUGAGUCGAGUUACGCGAUGGCGACGCAUAAGCGAAGGUACAUUUGCUGGCCUGCGCGGAAAAAGACCGUGUUCCGCUAAUCUGUUUCGAAUAGUGUCAACGGAUACAUUACAUUCGCGGACAUCUCUUAAAUUGUUUCGAAUUUGAACAGCCGUUCGAUGUCUGUCUCUUAAUGAAUUUAAAACAAUAAAUCGGUCAUCGUUUUCAUUCGUACAACGAGGACGUCCCGAACCAGGUCUUCUUUGGACAGAAUUAGUCUCCAAGUACCUAGCAUAAGCACGUUGCACGGUUGACACUGAUAAAUCAAGUGCCUCAGCAACGUACCUUCGACUUCUCCCAUCUUCAAUUAACGCUACAACUUGAGCAGCUUUUUCAGGACUUAUCGUCGCCAUAAUUGACCAAUAAUUUCAAUGCGAAAAGAUUAAUUAUUGUUUACUUUGACGAAGUCGUACGAAUAAGUAACGCGUCUCGAAA